rnacentral:lncRNA from 1 species
UUAAACCAUUUUGUCAGGUGCAAACAUAUUGAUUGAAUGUUUAAGCUGCAAAUAAGGGCAGAACGAAUUAUCUUAAAUGAACAUUAUAAGAUAACAUUUGUGAACAAGCUUUUAAGAGAGCUACGAUUGAUGUCCAUUCCAGAUUAUUUUGUACAAUGAAAAUCGAUUUAAGUUUUUAAAGUACUUCACCAAAUGACUAAAAAAUAUCUCGAUGUAUUUAGAUAUAUUGAUCAGGUUACUUUUAGAACAAUCAGACAAAGUACUUGCAAUAAGUUUUUUGUUCCAAAAAUCUAAAACUGAAUACUAGGAACUCUCUUUGUUGAUAUCUGAAAGCAUUUUGUGAAAUAAAUUGUCUACAAACAUAAAACAAAUCCAUUCAAAAAACAAAACAAAAAAGCAAAGGAAUAAACUAUUUGUAUACUCGUAUUUUCAUCAUUGAAUGUUAUACUUUAAGUUGUAAAACCAGGUUUAAUCUACCAGUUUCUACAUAAGAAAAAAACACGAAUAUUUUUGUGCUCUGUCUCCUCUAGUUUCUGGUUUUCCUUGGAAACUAAGAAUCAUAUUUUCAAUUUGAAUAUGUUAGAAAAAUAUUUUGAAAAAA